GGAUGACAUGGGUGCCAAUGUCGUGGUGGAUGUUGUUGAUCCAGCCGUAGUCCCGGUCCACCGUCGUCAGGCCCCCGCGCAGGUAGCUCCAUUCCUCGCCGCGGUACCAGGGGAGGUCAUGCUGACCAUGGUGGUGCAGGUAUGGGACUCCGUACACCUUGACCACCUGCAGGGGUCCCAAGGCGCACGCCAUGGCGAGGAGCGACGCGAGCAUAAUGCACCAGCAGGUGGUUGACACCACAACAUCACUCCUCUCCUUGGGGCUGAACAGAUCGCUGCUCGGCAGAAAGUGCGAGCCGUUCUUGCCGGGGGUCCUGUACCACUGCAGCCAAGGGACAGCAUCAAAUCAAACUAACUGUGUUCAGUCCAACUGAUCAGUUGGUUGGGUUUCAGUUUGGGACUGGACUGCAGGGACAUUUUUGUUAUGCACGCACGCAUGCAUAAUGGUGGAGCUUGCUGAAGAUGAAUUACUACGAUACGUACGAGGUAGAGGGGGAAAGCAAGCAGUGGGAACGGCGGCGUGAAGCGUAGCUUCUUGGUGCGUGUUUCCAGCUUCCGGUAUAGCUUCUCCGUGAUCUGCUUGCUCCAAACACAUCAGAUCAUUCAUAUUGCACAACCAUUAAAUAGCAUCGAUCAUCAGUUAGUUAAAACUUAAAAGUGAGCAGGCAGAUGGAACUGAAAUCCCAGAAGAAGUAGCUAGUGUAGGAAUGAAUGAUCAAAUGUGCGUCAAACUUAAGUGGGACAAAAUUAACCCAAUCCAGGCAUGAAGCAUCUACAGGUUCGGAGGCUCCACUUGCGUGUGGAAGGGAUAGAUAUAUUCCAUCACGAUUUCAUAGCGAUAUCGAAUACUGUGGUAAAUUAAGUAACGAUUUUAAUUACUUUAUCUUGGUAAAAAAAAAGAUUGUGAUUAGUGAUUUCUUUCAAGUCGAUAGUUGAGAUCUCGGGGGUGAAAGUGGAGCCCAAGUUCUGAAAAGGGAAAGCUAGGCCAGUCGAUCUGCAGAGCUAAAUGACAUGGGGUAGUUGCUAGAUCCAAACGAGAUCCGCAUCUGCAGAUUACUUUAGCAUCAACUCACGUGAGUGCCGACAUAGAUAAAGAGACAGCAGGUCUACGAGCUAGUUGUUGCUGCUGCCGGUGGUGUUGGUACUCGAUCCGUGUUAAUUACUAUUCAUUUUAUUCAUGGACCACAACUAUCUGUGAAUCGGUGCAUUCUAAAGCUAGCUUGAUAUUUGUUACUGCAAGCCAUGUGCCUCGAUCUGCACUGCAGCAGACUGGGAAUGAAAUGAAAGGUGCUCUAGUUUGGUUGUCCAAUAUAAUGGACACUUGACAAACAGUAACUUGUUUCAUGAGAAAUGCAGAAACUAUGCUACCAUCAUACAUGCAGACAUUUUUCUUUUCUUUUUGCAGACACUUGACAAGAUUAAGAUUGUUUCUUCAUUAUUAUAUACUUGCUACCAUCAUACAGUAACUUGUUUUAAAAAGUAGUACCGUCAUGUAUAUAAUGCACGCUGUAUAAUUGGUUCUUAGUUUUUUUUUUAUCUUGAGCAGUAGCUAGUAAGUAAUAUACUGAGUAGUGCAAGUCGGAAUAAGCAGGUGAGCAGUAACUACUAACCGGGUGCCAUGAUUCGUCCCUCUCGAUGUGGCCGUGGUUCUGAUGGUGCGUUCUGUGGCUGAUCCUCCUGCACAUCCAUCAAUGGUGCGGUGUCGAUUCCUUCUCCAAAGGGAAAGGAGAAACAGCUAGCCUAGAAUGAAGUAUUAUUCUCCACGUUACUACGUUAAGCCAGGACUACCUGUCUUCUGGGAGAAGCUUUCUUUUGCGUCGCAAAUCAAAUUAAUAAAAAAGAUGAUGCAUC